rnacentral:rRNA from 1 species
UACAGAGGUCCCAAGCGUUGUUCGGAUUCAUUGGGCGUAAAGGGUGCGUAGGCGGCGCGGUAAGUCGGGUGUGAAAUCUUGGAGCUUAACUCCGAACUGCAUUCGAUACUGCGGUGCUUGAGGACUGGAGAGGAGACUGGAAUUCAUGGUGUAGCAGUGAAAUGCGUAGAUAUCGUAAGGAAGACCAGUGGCGAAGGCGGGUCUCUGG